rnacentral:tRNA from 1 species
GGGUCUGUAGCUCAGCCGGACAGAGCACUCGGUUCCUAACCGAGCGGUCGAGGGUUCAAAUCCCUCCAGGUCCG